AAUGAACGCUGGCGGCAGGCCUAACACAUGCAAGUCGAACGCACCUUUCGGGGUGAGUGGCGGACGGGUGAGUAACGCGUGGGAACGUGCCCUUUGCUACGGAAUAGUCCCGGGAAACUGGGGGUAAUACCGUAUGUGCCCUUCGGGGGAAAGAUUUAUCGGCAAAGGAUCGGCCCGCGUUGGAUUAGGUAGUUGGUGGGGUAAUGGCCUACCAAGCCGACGAUCCAUAGCUGGUUUGAGAGGAUGAUCAGCCACACUGGGACUGAGACACGGCCCAGACUCCUACGGGAGGCAGCAGUGGGGAAUCUUAGACAAUGGGGGAAACCCUGAUCUAGCCAUGCCGCGUGAUCGAUGAAGGCCUUAGGGUUGUAAAGAUCUUUCAGAUGGGAAGAUAAUGACGGUACCAUCAGAAGAAGCCCCCGGCUAACUCCGUGCCAGCAGCCGCGGUAAAGUACAGUGU
rnacentral:rRNA from 1 species